AAAACGACUCUCGGCAACGGAUAUCUCGGCUCUCGCAUCGAUGAAGAACGCAGCGAAAUGCGAUACUUGGUGUGAAUUGCAGAAUCCCGUGAACCAUCGAGUCUUUGAACGCAAGUUGCGCCCCAAGCCAUUAGGCCGAGGGCACGUCUGCCUGGGUGUCACG
rnacentral:rRNA from 1 species